GUGUCAGCCGCCGCGGUAAUACGAAGGGGGCUAGCGUUGCUCGGAAUGACUGGGCGUAAAGGGCGCGUAGGCGGAUUAUACAGUCAGACGUGAAAUUCCUGGGCUCAACCUGGGGACUGCGUUUGAGACGUGUAGUCUAGAGUGAGGAAGAGGGUUGUGGAAUUCCCAGUGUAGAGGUGAAAUUCGUAGAUAUUGGGAAGAACACCGGUGGCGAAGGCGGCAACCUGGUCCUUUACUGACGCUGAGGCGCGAAAGCGUGGGGAGCAAACAGGAUUAGAUACCCUGGUAGUCCACGCUGUAAACGAUGUGUGCUGGAUGUUGGGUAACUUAGUUACUCAGUGUCGUAGCUAACGCGAUAAGCACACCGCCUGGGGAGUACGGCCGCAAGGUUGAAACUUAAAUGAAUUGGCGGGG
rnacentral:rRNA from 1 species